rnacentral:rRNA from 1 species
GGACCGUAUACAAGUCUCCUGGGAUGGAGCAUCAUAGAGGGUGAGAAUCCCGUCUUUGAUACGGACUACCAGUGCAUUGUGGUAUGCUCUCAACGAGUCGAGUUGUUUGGGAAUGCAGCUCAAAAUGGGUGGUAAAUUCCAUCUAAAGCUAAAUAUUGGCGAGAGACCGAUAGCGAACAAGUACCGUGAGGGAAAGAUGAAAAGAACUUUGGAAAGAGAGUUAAACAGUACGUGAAAUUGCUGAAAGGGAAACGCUUGAAGUCAGUCACGUCUGCUGGGAAUCAGCCUCGCUUCUGCGUGGUGUACUUUCUGGUAUGACGGGUCAGCAUCAGUUUUGACCACUGGAAAAAGGUGUGGGGAAUGUGGCAGCUCCGGCUGUGUUAUAGCCUCAUAUUGUAUACAGUGGUUGGGACUGAGGAACGCAGCACGCCGAAAGGCCGGGUCUUUGACCACGUUCGUGCUUAGGAUGCUGGCAUAAUGGCUUUAAGCGACCCGUCUUGAAACACGGACCAAGGAGUCUAACAUGCCUGCGAGUGUUUGGGUGGAAAACUCGAGCGCGCAAUGAAAGUGAAAGUUGAGAUCCCUGUCGUGGGGAGCAUCGACGCCCGGACCAGAACUUUUGGGACGGAUCCGCGGUAGAGCAUGUAUGUUGGGACCCGAAAGAUGGUGAACUAUGCCUGAAUAGGGUGAAGCCAGAGGAAACUCUGGUGGAGGCUCGUAGCGGUUCUGACGUGCAAAUCGAUCGU